GUCAACUACCCCGCCCUAAAGGGCGGAGCUUGCCUGCCUGCCGCGCCGCACGCGGCGCAGACAGGUGAAAGCAAGCUGGGUUGACCAGCCUAAGCCCGCCUGACCGGGAAGUCGAAAGGGGCUACGUGUACAACAGGUCGUUAAGACUCACCGGCGGAUGCUUCCUCAGUCUGCCGCUCUGAA
rnacentral:sRNA from 18 species